rnacentral:lncRNA from 1 species
CGACAUGUGGGGAUUCUAGGGGUUACAGUUUGAGAUGAGAUUUGGGUGGGGACACAGAGCCAAACCAUAUCAGCUUCAGUAUCCAGUAAGGGCAUGCACAAUCUGCCUAUUCUUAGGUGACCAAUAUGUAGCUAGUUCCACCUGUGGCCUCUGACCCCUGGACACCCUGGCAACCACUGCUCUUAUUGAGAUUCUGGAGCCUUGGCCUUCAUCCUAGUCUAACGGGUUGGUGCCUGCUAUUCCUCUGCAGAAGGGGUAGUGGGCUGAACUUGAGGCUCCUUAGCGAUCCACUGUUCUGGCUUGAGCUUCUGCCCCAGUCUGACCAGAAAAGCAUUAGGCUGUUUAUCUAUUUUCUCAGCAGGUGUCCCUGCCACUACCAGGUCAUAACACAUUUGUUGCCAGACCACCCUGGUGGAUCCUUUAGCUGUCUCCUUUCCUUUGGCUCCUUUGUCUUUCUUGCUGGCAGCGCAUACCCUGUGCCUAUGCAGUUUCUCCAUUUCCCCUAAGUUGGGGGCUGCUUGGGCUGCCCAAGACACUGGCUGUCCUACCAGGGCACUUAGGAUAGACACUGGUGAACUAUACUAUUGGUUGGGUGCCAACUAAGAUAGUGUCUUUCAUGCUGGCAGUGAAAAGCUCAUUGGAGCUUGGUAAUGCCCAGCAUAGAUAGCAUGCUUCAUCUCUAAUUCUUGGGGGAUGUCCUGCAAUUCCUCCAUAGUCUGUAAUUACAAAGGAGAUGUGAGGAUGUUGCUCUCAUUUAGCCAGGCUUCCUUGCAGCCCACAGCCACUCAGCUAAGAGGGGGAUGGCUGGUCCUCAUUAUUGGCAUCAUAGAGGUGCUUCCUCAGGGCCAGGUGGUUUGUGAUGGAUGCCAUUUUAACUCAUCUUGAGUCUGGAGAGUAUAAUACUCUCCGCCCCCAUGUCCCAUAGAUGGAGAAGCCACCACAAUAGACUCUCUUCCCUUCUUCCUGAACCUAUUUCGCAGCUCCACUAAUUCCACGGGCGUGCAGUACUGCAUUGUAGUGUGCUGCCGUCUUUUAGAUGCGGGCAAGUCUUAUGGGGUUACCCCCUGUAAGUGCAGCUGAUCAGCUUUUAUCUUGAUGGUGACUACUGGAUGUGCAGCUAGGACAGGAACCUUUAUGGGCUCAUCUCACCCCUCUCUUUUCUCCCCACUGAUAGCACAUCAUGGGGGUCCCAGGUAUCUUGGGGUCCCAGGAUGAUUUAGUCAUAAUAGCCCUAACUCAUUGCUGUGGGGGUCAGCAACCCUUCAAACAGGCUACCCAACAAGCCAGGGUCUCCAUUUUGUCAUCCCGUGUCCAUAGGUGAGACAGCAAGGUCUCUGAUGUUUCAGCCUGAGCUAAUCUGGCAUCUCUUUCUAGUCAUAGCUCAUCUUGUAACUGACCAAUCCCCACCUAUGCUGCAAGCUCAGCUUCAGUGACUGCUCAGAGUGCAGUCAGAAACAGCCAGUGAACCACAGUUGCCACUACUCAGGCAUCUGACCCUUGCUCAGUCAGUUUCAACCCCUGUAACAGCUCUUUCUGAACCUUCAGUGUUUUCAGGGCAUCCCUGUACUCAUGCGGUGGGAACCAACCAUCAAGGACAGCAGCUGUUGUCCUUGAUGGAUGGAAAGCAGGCAGAGACAGAGACCCACAUAGACAUGGAUGGCCAGCCCAGGAUUUGCCCCAUGGAUUUCCCCUUCCCCAAUCCCAUCAUCUUGAUGCUCAUAGGAUUUUCUUUGAUGCCCUAGUUGUCAUGUCAAUUGUUAUGCCAAACCCCUAUUGACUUCAAAUAGGGAUGGCACCAUGGUCAAGAGGACCCAGUGUUUAUUGAGGGGACUUACAUACAGGGGACUCCAGUGGCAGUGAGCUGGACAGGAGAACUGCUACCGCUUGUAAAAAACAUGCAAGUUUAUAUGGCAUUUUCACUUAGCAUCCUCUCCCUAGCAAAACCUCUACAAAAACCUCUACCUGGCAACCUUCAUUUAACCCAAAAAGGGGACUUGAUCCCUUGUACAGACUGAAUUCCAUGGGAUCAACCGAGGUCUGGUAUUCCCCGUAAAUAAGAAAUGAGUCUCUGGGUUGGCCACUUCCAGAUUUCUCUGCUUGGAAUUGCAAACACACAUUCUUUUUAUACCAUAGGGCCAUUCUUAGGGUUAACCUAUUGCUUUCAGGAGCAUCUGCUGUACAAUGAAAGAAUGCUGGAGGUAGGGACUAAAAGGAGGAUUAGGAAUCAAUAGAUAAGGAGAAAGGGGACAGAGAGAGGGAAGAACAUGAUCUGUUUCAGUGGUCACCAAACUAUAGCCUGUGUGCCAAACUCAACUCACUGCUUAUGUAUGUACAUCAAGUUUAUUGGAACAGACUUGCCUAUUGGUUUAGUAUUCAUCCUCUGUGGCUGCUUUUGCACUAGAAUGGCAGAAUUGAGUAGUUGCAACAAUAGGUUGGCAAAGCCUAAGAUAUUUGCUCUCUGAUCUGUUAUAGACAAAGUGUGCUAACCCUUGGUCGGUUUCAUCUUCUUCAUUUCUCUUACUGAGGUCAAAGAACAUACAUAAUGUCUAAGGGAAAAGAAUAGGAAGAUGAGGUAAAAUAGAAAAGAGCAAAAGUUUCUAGGGGUUACCACAGCCCAGGGUGAUCUAGAGAAUAGACAGGUGAGGUGAAGUUGAGUCUCUGAAAUUCCUCAAAUUUUUCUUCAAUAAAGGACCUGAGAGUAUGAAAUGGGCUGCCCAUGUGGAUGUUGAAAUCAUGUAGGAUACUGAUGGUUUUGUGGGUGGUGAGAAAGAUGGUGAACCCAACACCAAAGUCUUGGAAACAAAUGUUUGGUAAGUCUUUGGAAACCAGAAACAAGGAAGGAUGGAAGAAGAUAUGGCCUGUUAACAUAAACUGUGUUUACAGACAGAGUGAGAACUAGUAGUCCUAAGGUAUAAUUGAGGAGCAAUGAGGACAGGAACCCACUCCUAGCCCAGAGAUGAGUGGUACUCAUUGAGAGGGGCCCAGGAGAGCAAUGCCUUCAGAGAUCUAGGCUUCCUUUGGGGCAGGAAGUGAAGGAAGACUUAAGGGCAGAGAUGGAGGAUAGUAGGGAGUUUUUUUGUCUUAUUUUCUAUGGAAUGAGAAUUCUGAAACAAAAAAAAAUAGAUUUAUGAAUGAGAUACCUUCCAUGGGUUUAGGCCAGGGGAAAAAAAGGGGGCAGAGCAGUAUAGGUAUGAGAAUACAGGAAAGAAUAGAUAGCAGGGUGUGCUUCUGUAUGGAGGUGACCAAGUGUUAGAUAGCUGCAAGUAUUCUAAGGAAUUGGCACCAAGGAUUGUCUGGUGGGCACAGAGGAAUAGUCUGGUUUUAUAAAAACACUGUACUCAAAAAUGCCUGGAGGGAUUGUACCAUAUGGUAAUCCCAGCCAGCUGAGCAGGCAGGCCAUGAUAUUAGUUAAUUCCUACAAUUCUAAGUUGGUGUUACACAUUGACAACAGAUCCUGGUGGAGAAGAAACUUUGGCAUCUUCAGAGUACCUUUGGCCCUGGCAUCUGCUCAUUGGUCAAUAACUCUACCAAACACAUAGCUGCUCAAGCUGGAAAUCUUACAAUCACCUGUACCUCCAGUCUACCUUCUUCAUUUCUUUAUAUUUCAUCUUCACAUUCUCCCUGGAUUCACUGUCAUGGUGUCUUAGUAGGCCUUUCUUCUUUAGCCUAAUCUCCCAGAGGUGUUUCCUUUUGUUACUCUCCAAAAUGAAAAGUCUAUUUUUUUCUUAUCAAAGCCAUACAUGCUUCCUGUAAAAUCAACUCAGAUAACACAGAAGGUAUAAUAAAGAAUGCAAAAUUAUCACAAAUCCUACAUCCUAGAGUUACUACUAUUAACAUUUUUCUAUAUGUCUUUACAGACUUUCUCUAUGCAGAUACAUUUUUUAAAAAUGUAGUGGAACCGUAUUAUAUGAGCACUUUCUUAAAAUUUAUUAUUUUCUAACAGUGGAUUAUCAAACUCUUUCAAUAAAUAUUUAUAUCAUUUUUAAAGCCAACAGUAUUCUGGUAUAGGGCUUUAUCAUGAUUUAUUAUCCAAUUCCAUAUCACUGGAUUUGGUUUAUAUUUAUUUGCUACUAUAUGUAACAAUAUAAUGAACAUUCUUAUACUAAUGACUUUUAUAAAACAAAAAUCUGAUCAUGUCAUAGUUUCUUGCUCGAAAUUCAUCAGUGUCUCUCUAGCCUGUGACUUUUGGGAUUAAAUUCAAUCACUUAGCAUGACAGAAAAGGUCAUUUAUCAUCUGACUUGGUCUGUUUCUAGCCUGAUUUCUCAAUACACCUCCACACCUGCUACUGUGGUCAGGAGCCCUGCUUAAGUGCCCAUUAAUACCUCCAUCAUGAGGCAUUAUCAAUGUGUGUUUACAACUUCCCAGCUGCACUGUAAACUCUUUAAGGGACUAUGUAUUUUAUCUCUGAGAAUAGUUAUAUGUGGGCACUCAAUAUUUGUUUGGUUGCAAGAAAGGCAAUGAAUGCAUGCACACAUGUGUAUUUUAUUCCUUAUUUCUCAUUCUCCUUCCCUGGAGGUAUUUUAACCAGUACUGUCUUUUUUAUUAUAGAUUAUGUUUUCUUGUAAUCUUGAAUUUGCUCAUUCUUUAGUUCAUUCCAUUUAACAAAAGCAGAUCGAGCACCUACUAUAUGCCAGACACUGUUAUAGGUAUUGGAAAGCAGUGAACAAAACCUUCUGGACCUGACAUUUUAAUGGGGAGACAGACAAUAUACAAGAAUCUUCCUGGCUACUGUGUUGAAAAGAGGCUGAAGGUGAACAGUUAGGCUGUUGCAAUCAUUCAGACAGAAGUUUUUGUUGUCAGAACCAAGAUGGUGGCAGUGAGAGUGACAGUGAAUGACUGAAUUGUGGAUUCCUUUUGAAGAUGUUUGUUUAUGAUACUGACACGGGAUGCGGGAGAAAGAGCAGAAUCACAGAUAACACCAAGAGUCUCCAUCCCUCAAAACUUAAAAACAAUAAAAAUUCUAUUUACCGAGCAAUUACUUAUUUUUGCUCCAUUGGCCUAAUUUCAGACUCAUACUUAACCAAUCUUAACUAUAUUUAAUGGAAAUUGUCCCAUAAAGAACUCUGUUUUUGAAUACUUUUGUUUUUGUUUAUGUGGUGUCACUGUAACCUGUGGAGACUAUUUUGGCUAUGUGUAUCUUACAGGAACCAGUCUCAUUAUUUGAUAAGCAUAUCACAUACAAUACCCAAAUCUAGUUUUGAUAUUUGUCAUAAAAUGUCUUGGACCAUGGUGCUCUAGUAAUACAAUUUUCCUGAAUUUUGUAACUGCACUUGUUUAGCACGUGGAUCGCUUUUCAAUAAACGAGUCCAGAUGACUCUAAAUGAAUUUAUUGAUAAAGCAAGCCUGCCUUUUACUCACAAAUUUUCUAGUGACUAUAUUAAUAAUAUUAAUAGCUAUAAAUUGAAAUAAAGUACGUACAAUAAUCAUUGUUUUCUAUUUUGAUUAAAUUACUUUAAGCAAUCACAGAAUUGCAAGUUUUAAAAUACAGAGUAAUAUUAAUAGAUUUUCACUAGCAUGUAUUUUAAAAUAAUUUGGGUAUGAUUUAUUUAGAAAUACAAGAUGAAAAUCAUCUUUUUUUAAAAUUAUCUAAAUGUUAAAAUACCCUGAAAACAUUUUUUUAUUAUACUUUAAGUUUUAGGGUACAUGUGCACAACGUGCAGGUUUGUUACAUAUGUAUACAUCUUAAUUCAAGGAAUGUCACUUUAAAAAAAAAUGAAAACGUGAAAAGUCUUUUGAAGCAGCAAUCUGGUCUCUUUGGGCACUGCUAGAUACAACGGGUAUUUGUCUGCUUUCACUCACAUUCCUUAGCUGAGGAUUCAUCUCUGGGAGGCUUAGGAUGGAACAGACAGUUUAUACUUGGAUUGGUGCCCAUUCCUUUCCACGGGAUACCUUUAUAUGUGGAAGAGCUAGAGAUGUACCUAUUUUCUAGGUGUGACAGAAUGGCUUCCAGUGGAUUUUCAAAUUUUGGCUUUAAAAACAUUGUUGAGAUGCCAGUUACUGAAUUGAAAUGUCCAAGGUACCCAGCAAAGGCACCUGAGGUGGCAGAAAUCUCAGGCAUGACUAACAAAUGCCAGGCAUUUCUGAGGAACAAUAUGCAUGCUGUUCACUUCUUUAGAAUAUUUAAAAAAUGAUGAAAUAAAAAAUGAAAAUAACUCACGUGUGGAAAAUAAUACUGACAUUUUAAACUGAUGCUUAAGAGUGUGAUCUGGCAUUUCUAUGAUUUUGGACAAUGUCGGGGUGAACUUGGGUAAGCUUCUUAAUAUCUUUUUUGCUUUCUUUACACUGUAUAUUAAAUAUGAAUAAUAAUUGUUUCUACUACACAAGAUUGUUGUGAAGAUGAACAGUUUAGUUUCUAGCACACUGUAAAUUCUCAGUAGUCAUUAGUUAUUAUUGUCUAAGAAUACAAUGGAACUCUUGAGUUUACCUAUAAAUUGCAUCUUAAGAAGAAUGUGUAGAAAGAUGAGAAACAGAGAAAGAAAAUAGCUCCGGGGAAUCCUUACCCUGGCUAUUUUUAGUGGAUUGUUUUAUAUUCAUCACUGGGUGAUAUUCUUGCCAGAAGCCAGGUGGGGAGGAUGUCUAACCUUCAUAUGAGACUUUCAAAGUGUAUGACUUAUAAAAGUUUCUAUCAAUGUUAACAAAAUAUUAGACAAUUAAUAGUGGUUUGUAUUGUAACGAUUUUUAGUUCUGAAAAAUAAACAUGAUAUAGAUGAUACCAA